GUCCCGGUGGGGCGGCCUGCGGCCGGUUCCGGGUCGGUUGCCGCCACGCCGGCUCGGCGCCGGGUCGGGGCU
rnacentral:tRNA from 1 species